UACAGAGGGUGCAAGCGUUGUUCGGAAUUACUGGGCGUAAAGGGCGUGUAGGCGGUUUAGCAAGUCAGAUGUGAAAUCCCGGGGCUUAACUCCGGAAGUGCAUUUGAAACUGCUAGGCUAGAGUGCAGUAGAGGAUGGUGGAAUACCCAGUGGAGAGGUGAAAUUCGUAGAUAUUGGGUGGAACACCGGUGGCGAAGGCGACCAUCUGGGCUGCAACUGACGCUGAGGCGCGAGAGCGUGGGGAGCAAACAGG
rnacentral:rRNA from 1 species